rnacentral:rRNA from 1 species
UACGGGGGGGGGCAAGCGUUGUUCGAAUUACUGGGCGUAAAGGGCUCGUAGGUGGCCAACUAAGUCAUACGUGAAAUCCCUCGGCUUAACCGGGGAACUGCGCCUGAUACUGGUUGGCUUGAGUUUGGGAGAGGGAUGCGGAAUUCCAGGUGUAGCGGUGAAAUGCGUAGAUAUCGGGAGGAACAUCCGUGGCGAAGGCGGCCACCUGGACCAACAUUGACGCUGAGGCACGAAAGCGUGGGGAGCAAACAGGG